rnacentral:lncRNA from 1 species
GGUGACCACCACCGCCGUGUGACCGCCAUGAACCACCAAAAAUUAGCAUUAUUCCAUCGUCCACCACAACCGAUCGUGUGCAAUAGAGGAAGCUAAGAUGAUGCAAUGAUGAAAACCGCAACAUAUCCAUCCGAUACGAGUAUCAAUCGAGUCAUCUAGACGCCUACGGAGCUCGAUCUAGACGCCUUGACUAGUGAUGAAGAAGACGAUC